GGGCAGCGACGACAUCUCCUCCACGUCUCUUCAAUUUUUGGCGCGAGCCUUUGCUCGGCCGACGUCGGUUUCCUGUGCUGAAUACCUAUUGCGAUGGCAUUAUGUCGGCUAUGUUUGUCCCCUUCCCACCUUGUUCCGCUGCUCCACGUGGGCGUGCGGUGCGGGGCGGGCCAAAUCGCGCGCGUCGUGUGUCGCACCGCGUUCGCCCCUUGGGGCGUUCGGGUUGUCGACCCACGACGUGUUGCUCGGUCUCUCGGGUACGGUGCAUCAUGUGGGUACGAGGCCAUCGGCCUCCGAGCACCACAAUCAAGCGUUCUACGCUUCGUGCGAACGACCGUCGGCUCGGNC
rnacentral:misc_RNA from 1 species